rnacentral:rRNA from 1 species
CCUACGGGAGGCAGCAGUGAGGAAUAUUGGUCAAUGGACCAGAGUCUGAACCAGCCAAGUAGCGUGAAGGAUGACUGCCCUAUGGGUUGUAAACUUCUUUUAUAUGGGAAUAAAACGUUCCACGUGUGGGAUUUUGUAUGUACCAUAUGAAUAAGGAUCGGCUAACUCCGUGCCAGCAGCCGCGGUAAUACGGAGGAUCCGAGCGUUAUCCGGAUUUAUUGGGUUUAAAGGGAGCGUAGGUGGAUUGUUAAGUCAGUUGUGAAAGUUUGCGGCUCAACCGUAAAAUUGCAGUUGAAACUGGCAGUCUUGAGUACAGUAGAGGUGGGCGGAAUUCGUGGUGUAGCGGUGAAAUGCUUAGAUAUCACGAAGAACUCCGAUUGCGAAGGCAGUUCACUGGACUGCAACUGACACUGAGGCUCGAAAGUGUGGGUAUCAAACAGGAUUAGAUACCCGUGUAGUC